GCCUCGGUGGUGUAGAGGUUGUACGCCCCCCUUGGAAGAGGUGAAACGCGGGUUCAACUCUCGGCUGAGGUC